rnacentral:rRNA from 1 species
AUACGGAGGGUGCGAGCGUUAAUCGGAAUUACUGGGCGUAAAGGGUGCGUAGGCGGCUUGAUAAGUCGGAUGUGAAAGCCCCGGGCUUAACCUGGGAAUUGCAUUCGAUACUGUCAGGCUAGAGUAUGUCAGAGGUUGGCGGAAUUCCUGGUGUAGCGGUGAAAUGCGUAGAUAUCAGGAGGAACACCAGUGGCGAAGGCGGCUAACUGGGACAAUACUGACGCUGAGGCACGAAAGCGUGGGGAGCAAACAGGAUUAGAAACCCUAGUAGUCC